CCCUCCUAUCCCACCGGAGAACGGGGUCCUCACUCCCAGCUUCAGCCGAGCCCUGGCCCCGCAACUGCCUGAAGGCACGCCCCCUGCACCUGCCCACCUCAGGUCCCGCCUCCAGCCCAGUGGCCAAGAUCGCGGGUCUCUACAAUGACUUGGAGCCACCCCGGAAGACCAUGCGCAGAGGGGUGCUGAUGACCCUGCUGCAGCAGUCGGCCAUGACCCUGCCCCUGUGGAUUGGGAAGCCUGGUGACAAGCCCCCACCCCUCUGUGGGGCCAUCCCUGCCUCAGGAGACUACGUGGCCAGACCUGGAGACAAGGUGGCUGCCCGGGUGAAGGCCGUGGAUGGGGAUGAGCAGUGGAUCCUGGCCGAGGUGGUCAGUUACAGCCAUGCCACCAACAA
rnacentral:lncRNA from 1 species